rnacentral:tRNA from 1 species
GCAGGUGUGCUGGAACUGGCAGACAGGCACGUUUGAGGGGCGUGUGUUCUACGAACGUACGGGUUCAAGUCCCGUCACCUGCACCA